rnacentral:lncRNA from 1 species
UUAAUAAUUUCAGGUAUUUUGUAUUCAAAUUUGUGUCAUAGUAAAAUCGAUUAUUUUCGAUAAUAUUGGAUUUAAAAAAGAGAAUAGAAGUAAAAAAGAACGAUAGUUGAAACUGGAUCUUCGAUGAACGGAGGUAUAUAUAAUCGUACAAAUAAAAAAGAAAAGGAUGACCGCAUCCGGACAGCGACAAGUACACGAGGAAGUUUAUUUUGUUUUGUAUUUGUUUUCUAAUGAAAAGAACAGGGUGGUGGAGAGAGAGGAAAAGGAAAAGCAAAACAAAUUUCUAGGAGCAAAGCUAGUAGAAGUUGUUCAUUUCUAUGUGUAUCUUUACUAUAUUUAGACGAGUAGUUAAAGCGUAUUUGAAAUGUUGAAAACAGGUAUACAGAAGGUGUAUGUGUGUGUGUGUGAACGACCGAAGGAACGACGAGAUGAUGCGCGUUUUGCGGCUUUCAUGGCGGUGCUGUUCGUUGAACGAACGAGAGAAUAAACGAGAAAGUACAACAAGAAGGAGGAACAGGAUAGAAAGAGGAUGGUAAAUCGGAUACGAGAGAGGACAACGAAGGGAAUAGUCAAUGCAGUGCCGUACGAGAGAUUAGUUCGUAACAGGCAACUGUAUAUAUCUAUGGAUAACCGUUAAUUAUAUAGAAGAUUGUUAUAAAUCAUAUUCAAUCGGAUUUGUUCAAUGGAAACUUUGAUUUCAUUGAUCGAAGUAACCUUCACCCAGUUGGCAAGCGCUUUAACGAUUGAUCGAUUGACAUACGAUCGAAUCUCUUCUACAAGUUGAUUCUUGUUUUUUUAUUCUUUUUUGUUGUUCAUUUAAAAAUUAAAAAUCGUCUGGCGUGCGAAAGACCCGCGAAAAAGGAAUGUACGAAGGAUUUCGAUUGGGUGCUCAAUGGGUCUUGCAAAUGUGCAAGUGCAUUGAAGCAUCCGAUUUCGAAAGAGGAUAGAUUUAAACAGAUGUUCGAUAUGUCCAAGUCAAUGUGUUUGAAAUCGGAUCGCGCGAAAUAAUGCGUUUGAAAGAUGACGGAGAUUGACCCCUUUGAAAUUUUUGUUCAGAACAGAAACGAGAGGUGGAAGAAAAAUAAGAAGAAUAAAGGGAAAAAAAGGGAGGUGAUACGCGAAGGGAGGUUCUCGAGAUCAAAACGUUCGUGAGAAAAGGUUACUCAGAUUUUCCCUCUUUCGCACAGUGAGUGUGCAUACACACACGCGAGGCACAAACCUUCGCAUUUUCUUUGAGCGUGAUAUUAUGAACAAUGCGCUUUCUCACGAUAAUCACCUCGUAGAUUUGCCGUUUAACGUUUUACCACGCUACAGAAAUCAUCCAGCAGGUCCCUUGCCGACCUUGUUUCCUGCCUUCACAUCAACAUUCUACAAGAGAUACUUUUGCUAUCCUGUUACAACGAUGAAUACCAUUCAAUUGGAUUUUUUUUCAAAUAUUUUUCUAUGCGAUAUUACCUUUUACUUUUUAUAGUCGUCUAACGAACGAGCUAACGUAGAAAGAAUGUUCAUGAAUCAUUCUCACUUUCUCUGCAAUAUCAAUAAGAACAAUUCAUUGGAAAUGAUAAUUAUCGACAUAUUAUUAAUAAUACAUAAAAUAUAAGCUAAUGAUUAUUGUUAUCAAUUAUAUUUUUAAAUGAAAGGUAUAAUGAGAAAAAGAUAGAAGAGUCGAAGGUUCGUCGUAUCAGCGUACAGUCCUGCGCGAGGAGUAGGGGUAGCGUGUUCGGGGACAGAGUGGGGGGUUCGAGGGUGCCGCUCGGCACGAAUCGUGCGCGUCCGAGUAGUGUCAGUAGGGACGUGCAACGAGGGGGUCUAUGUUAAUUUUCGUUCUGUUUUUCCCCCAAUCAUUCCUUGCUAAUAAACUCUUUCUUCUCUCCCUCGUUAAUUCGACCAAUCGCGUGUGCUAUUCUUUUCGGUCGUAAGACGGACCUUCGACGAAGACAGAAAAAUAAAAGAAAAAUAAAAAGAAAAAGAAAAAGUGUAUAAGUUUUUGUCGAGGGCCAGACAAGACGCUCGAUACAACACGUCGUGUCCCUUCGGUGCGCGGCUUGACAACGAGGAGACGACGACGACGACGACAAGAAGAAGAAGAAGCGCCCUUUAUCGAACGAUCUCUUCUCCUCUCGUGUGUGUGCACGUGUUGUCCCUUCGGAACAAGGGAAAGGAGAGAAAUCGAGAGGAGAAGAAAAAAAAAUAAAACUCGACAAAAA